rfam:Streptococcus thermophilus CNCM I-1630 Contig0438, whole genome shotgun sequence.
GGUUAAGUUAAUAAGGGCGCACGGUGGAUGCCUUGGCACUAGAAGCCGAUGAAGGACGUGACUAACGACGAAAUGCUUUGGGGAGCUGUAAGUGAGCAAUGAUCCAGAGAUGUCCGAAUGGGGGAACCCGGCAGGUAAUGCCUGUCACUCAUUACUGUUAAGGUAAUGUAGAGGAAGACGCAGUGAACUGAAACAUCUAAGUAGCUGUAGGAAGAGAAAGCAAAAGCGAUUGCCUUAGUAGCGGCGAGCGAAACGGCAAGAGGGCAAACCGAAGAGUUUACUCUUCGGGGUUGUAGGACUGCAACGUGGACUUAAAGAUUAUAGAAGAACUACCUGGGAAGGUAGGCCAAAGAGAGUAAUAGCCUCGUAUUCGAAAUAGUCUUUAUACCUAGCAGUAUCCUGAGUACGGCGAGACACGAGAAAUCUCGUCGGAAUCUGGGAGGACCAUCUCCCAACCCUAAAUACUCUCUAGUGACCGAUAGUGAACCAGUACCGUGAGGGAAAGGUGAAAAGUACCCCGGGAGGGGAGUGAAAUAGAACCUGAAACCGUGUGCCUACAACAAGUUCGAGCCCGUUAAUGGGUGAGAGCGUGCCUUUUGUAGAAUGAACCGGCGAGUUACGAUAUGAUGCGAGGUUAAGUUGAAGAGACGGAGCCGUAGGGAAACCGAGUCUUAAUAGGGCGCAUUAGUAUCAUGUCGUAGACCCGAAACCAUGUGACCUACCCAUGAGCAGGUUGAAGGUGAGGUAAAACUCACUGGAGGACCGAACCAGGGCACGUUGAAAAGUGCUUGGAUGACUUGUGGGUAGCGGAGAAAUUCCAAACGAACUUGGAGAUAGCUGGUUCUCUCCGAAAUAGCUUUAGGGCUAGCGUCGAUGUUAAGUCUCUUGGAGGUAGAGCACUGUUUGGGUGAGGGGUCCAUCCCGGAUUACCAAUCUCAGAUAAACUCCGAAUGCCAAUGAGAUAUAAUCGGCAGUCAGACUGCGAGUGCUAAGAUCCGUAGUCGAAAGGGAAACAGCCCAGACCACCAGCUAAGGUCCCAAAAUAUAUGUUAAGUGGAAAAGGAUGUGGGGUUGCACAGACAACUAGGAUGUUAGCUUAGAAGCAGCUAUUCAUUCAAAGAGUGCGUAAUAGCUCACUAGUCGAGUGACCCUGCGCCGAAAAUGUACCGGGGCUAAAACAUAUUACCGAAGCUGUGGAUACCUUUAUAGGUAUGGUAGGAGAGCGUUCUAUGUGCGAAGAAGGUGUACCGUGAGGAGUGCUGGAGCGCAUAGAAGUGAGAAUGCCGGUAUGAGUAGCGAAAGACAGGUGAGAAUCCUGUCCACCGUAAGACUAAGGUUUCCAGGGGAAGGCUCGUCCGCCCUGGGUUAGUCGGGACCUAAGGAGAGACCGAAAGGUGUAUCCGAUGGACAACAGGUUGAUAUUCCUGUACUAGAGUAUAUAGUGAUGGAGGGACGCAGUAGGCUAACUAAACCAGACGAUUGGAAGUGUCUGGCCAAGCAGUGAGGUGUGAUAUGAGUCAAAUGCUUAUAUCUUUAACAUUGAGCUGUGAUGGGGAGCGAAGUUUAGUAGCGAAGUUAGUGAUGUCACACUGCCGAGAAAAGCUUCUAGCGUUAAUUAUACUCUACCCGUACCGCAAACCGACACAGGUAGUCGAGGCGAGUAGCCUCAGGUGAGCGAGAGAACUCUCGUUAAGGAACUCGGCAAAAUGGCCCCGUAACUUCGGGAGAAGGGGCGCUGACUGAUGGUCAGCCGCAGUGAAUAGGCCCAAGCAACUGUUUAUCAAAAACACAGCUCUCUGCUAAAUCGUAAGAUGAUGUAUAGGGGGUGACGCCUGCCCGGUGCUGGAAGGUUAAGAGGAGUGCUUAGCGUAAGCGAAGGCAUGAAUUGAAGCCCCAGUAAACGGCGGCCGUAACUAUAACGGUCCUAAGGUAGCGAAAUUCCUUGUCGGGUAAGUUCCGACCCGCACGAAAGGCGUAAUGAUUUGGGCACUGUCUCAACGAGAGACUCGGUGAAAUUUUAGUACCUGUGAAGAUGCAGGUUACCCGCGACAGGACGGAAAGACCCCAUGGAGCUUUACUGCAGUUUGAUAUUGAGUAUCUGUACCACAUGUACAGGAUAGGUAGGAGCCUAUGACCUCGGGACGCCAGUUUCGAGUGAGGCGUUGUUGGGAUACUACCCUUGUGUUAUGGCUACUCUAACCCAGAUAGGUUAUCCCUAUCGGAGACAGUGUCUGACGGGCAGUUUGACUGGGGCGGUCGCCUCCUAAAAGGUAACGGAGGCGCCCAAAGGUUCCCUCAGAAUGGUUGGAAAUCAUUCGCAGAGUGUAAAGGUAUAAGGGAGCUUGACUGCGAGAGCUACAACUCGAGCAGGGACGAAAGUCGGGCUUAGUGAUCCGGUGGUUCCGUAUGGAAGGGCCAUCGCUCAACGGAUAAAAGCUACCCUGGGGAUAACAGGCUUAUCUCCCCCAAGAGUUCACAUCGACGGGGAGGUUUGGCACCUCGAUGUCGGCUCGUCGCAUCCUGGGGCUGUAGUCGGUCCCAAGGGUUGGGCUGUUCGCCCAUUAAAGCGGCACGCGAGCUGGGUUCAGAACGUCGUGAGACAGUUCGGUCCCUAUCCGUCGCGGGCGUAGGAAAUUUGAGAGGAUCUGCUCCUAGUACGAGAGGACCAGAGUGGACUUACCGCUGGUGUACCAGUUGUUCUGCCAAGAGCAUCGCUGGGUAGCUAUGUAGGGAAGGGAUAAACGCUGAAAGCAUCUAAGUGUGAAGCCCACCUCAAGAUGAGAUUUCCCAUGAUUUUAUAUCAGUAAGAGCCCUGAGAGAUGAUCAGGUUGAUAGGUUAGAAGUGGAAGUGUGGUGACACAUGUAGCGGACUAAUACUAAUAGCUCGAGGACUUAUCCAA